GUGGGGAAUAUUGGACAAUGGGCGAAAGCCUGAUCCAGCCAUGCCGCGUGUGUGAAGAAGGUCUUCGGAUUGUAAAGCACUUUAAGUUGGGAGGAAGGGCAGUAAGUUAAUACCUUGCUGUUUUGACGUUACCGACAGAAUAAGCACCGGCUAACUUCGUGCCAGCAGCCGCGGUAAUACGAAGGGUGCAAGCGUUAAUCGGAAUUACUGGGCGUAACGCGCGCGUAGGUGGUUCAGUAAGUUGGAAGUGAAAUCCCCGGGCUCAACCUGGGAACUGCUUUAAAAACUGCUGAGCUAGAGUACGGUAGAGGGUGGUGGAAUUUCCUGUGUAGCGGUGAAAUGCGUAGAUAUAGGAAGGAACACCAGUGGCGAAGGCGACCACCUGGACUGAUACUGACACUGAGGUGCGAAAGCGUGGGGAGCAAACAGGAUUAGAUACCCCUGUAGUCC
rnacentral:rRNA from 1 species